CCUACGGGAGGCAGCAGUGGGGAAUAUUGGACAAUGGGGGCAACCCUGAUCCAGCCAUGCCGCGUGUGUGAAGAAGGCCCUCGGGUUGUAAAGCACUUUCAGUGAGGAAGAACGCCUGGUGGUUAAUACCCAUCAGGAAAGACAUCACUCACAGAAGAAGCACCGGCUAACUCCGUGCCAGCAGCCGCGGUAAUACGGAGGGUGCGAGCGUUAAUCGGAAUUACUGGGCGUAAAGCGCGCGUAGGUGGCUUGAUAAGCCGGUUGUGAAAGCCCCGGGCUCAACCUGGGAACGGCAUCCGGACCUGUCAAGCUAGAGUGCAGGAGAGGAAGGUAGAAUUCCCGGUGUAGCGGUGAAAUGCGUAGAGAUCGGGAGGAAUACCAGUGGCGAAGGCGGCCUUCUGGACUGACACUGACACUGAGGUGCGAAAGCGUGGGUAGCAAACAGGAUUAGAUACCCGAGUAGUC
rnacentral:rRNA from 1 species